UACAGUUUCAUACGGUUUGUUUCCAUAUGAACUGACUGUUUUUUUUAUCCGGAGUGAAGUGCAGAAAAAUGAAUAAAGCUCUUUUUUAACAAAUAUAUUUUUAAAAACGACUGUGCAUUAAAUAACCAACCGAGAGGAGGUCAACCACUCAACUGACGCCGCCUGAGCGUGGUCGUCCUGCUCCCAGCACCAGCACCACCCCCAACCCCAGGGCUCCGCUCCUGGGUGCGCGAAUCAAUUACAGCGACGUCGUAACGCGAAAAUCGAUUUCGGCUGCGGGCGCAGGCUGAAUCACCAGAAAUUAUGUCCCACUGCGAUGUGGACACGGAAAUAAAGAUGACAUCGCCCAGCCGGAUGAAGGACGCAACCGUUCUCCGGAAGGUCAACACAUCCUGGAGCAGCGUGCUCCUCCUGGCCGCACUGACCCUGUGCGUCUUGAUCUCCGGAUGCAAUGCCACGGACACGGACAUCGCUCUGGACGCGAAGGCCACGCUGAACCACCGCAUCCAGAGCCUGGAUCUGCUCGUCUUCGUGUUCCUGCUGGCCCUUACGGUCCUCACCAUAUGGCUGUUUAAGCACCAUCGCGUCUCCUGGCUCCACGAGACCGGACUGGCCGUCAUAUACGGCUUGAUUGUUGGAGCAAUUAUACGGUAUGCGGGCACCUCCGCCACUCUUGUCCACAUGCAGGUGGAGCCGCAAGGUGUUCCAACGUACACCGACAAGUUGCCGCCCGAUACGCUCUGGUUUAAAUAUCCCGUCAACCAAACGAAUGGAACCAAACUGCCGGAGGGAAUUAAGACGUACGCCUAUGUAUUUCGCGGGCAAGUUCACGAUGUGGAUGAAAACGAAAUCGAUCUUAAGGCAACCUUUGAUCCGGAGGUGUUCUUCAACAUUUUACUACCGCCAAUAAUCUUUUACGCAGGUUACAGCUUGAAAAAGAAAUACUUCUUUCGCAAUCUGGGUGCCAUCCUGACGUUUGCCAUUGUGGGGACCACCUUGUCGGCCUUCCUGAUCGGUGGCUUCAUGUACGGUUGUGUGAAACUGAUGCCAAAGUACUUGAGCAGCAGUUUCACAUUUCUGGACACUCUAUACUUUGGAGCCCUGAUUUCGCCCACAGAUCCGCUCACCAUUCUAGCCAUUUUCAACGAUCUCCGAGUUGACGUAAACCUAUAUGCGCUAGUCUUGGGCGAAUCUGUGCUCAACGAUGCCGUGGCCAUUGUCCUAAGCGGAGCCAUUCAAAACUAUGGUGAACAUUACUCCAAUACGGGGGAAUUCGAAACUACAGCUUUCCUGCGCUCGUUAAGUGACUUCUUUUCCAUCUUUCUGCUGUCCCUGAUGAUUGGCGCCGCCAUGGGCUGCUUGACAGCAUUGAUGACCAAAUUUACGCGUGUUCGUGACUUUCCCCUACUAGAGUCGGCGCUGUUUGUGCUGAUGAGCUACAGCACCUUCCUGCUGGCUGAGGCCACAGAACUUACCGGAGUGGUGGCCGUGCUUUUCUGCGGCAUCUGUCAGGCUCACUACACAUACAACAACCUGUCGGAGGACUCGCGCCAAAGGACCAAGCAGAUCUUCGAGCUGCUGAACUUUUUGGCCGAGAACUUUAUAUUUUCUUACAUUGGAGUUUCGAUGUUUACCUUUCCAAAGCAUCAUUUCGAUGCAGGAUUUAUCAUAACAGCUUUCAUCUGCGCCGCAAUAGGACGUGCCGUGAAUGUGUAUCCCUUAUCCUGGCUGCUUAACAUCAAGCGCAAACCUAAAAUCUCCUCCAACUUUCAGCACAUGCUCUUCUUUGCUGGACUUCGUGGAGCAAUGUCCUUUGCCUUGGCCAUCCGAAAUACCGUGUCGGAUGCGCGACAGACUAUGCUGACCGCCACAUCGCUGAUUGUCAUCUUUACGGUCGUAAUCCAGGGUGGGGCAGCCAAUUUUCUGCUAAAUUGGUUGAAAAUACCUGUUGGCGUUGACGAUGAGACUGAACAAUUAAAUAAUUACCAAGUGCACAGUGUUUACAAUUCAAUGGACAAUUCACACCCGCAGACGUCUGAUGGUUAUUUACAGGAUGUGGAGAAUGGCGGCGGAGGACGCGGCAAAUUGCGUUUGUCCGGUGGCACAGAGUCCAACUUGGAUACGCCAGCGGAUGGACCGAAUGGCAGCUUGGGCGGCCCAAGCGGCGGACGUCGUCGCAACAGCCAUGAGAAGGCCAUUCUGGCCAGGAUCUGGGCGAACUUUGAUACCAAGUACAUGAAGCCCUUGCUGACGCACUCAAGACCCACUCUCCUGGAGACCUUGCCCGUUUGCUGCAAUCCCAUUGCCAGGCUGCUCACCACCACGCAGCAGCUCACCCAGGAUGGAAGCGAGUUCAGGCGCGUGGACUCGGACUCGGAUAUCUGCAUAGACAACGAUACCGGGAAUGGUCUUGGCCAGGAUGUGGGACCCGGAACGGGACCGGGCGUGGGUCGGCGGAACUCCCUGAGUCGCUCUGUCCAAUUGAGUGAAGCCAAUCAUCACCUUGCAAAUGAACUCAGCCUGGUUACUAAUAAUUUCAUGUAAUCAUUUCUGUAUGGGAAAUCAAGAGAUCGAGCCAGUUAAUUAUGUAUUUUAUUUACUUACUAUUUAUAAUGUUUUUGUUUGUUUUUGUCUACUUUUCCUUGGUAAAACAAAUGUUUUAAACGAAGCACAGACGGAGACAACCCAGACAUGAUAAACUAAGUCCAGAGUCAGUUAGUCCAGUCAGUGAAUUGAUUAACAGAUUAACCAAUGCUUUUUAAGGCACAGCAGUUCGUUUGUAUUGUUCACUUUUAAUUUCUGUAUUUUUCCUCAUAAUCUAAUUUCUUAGAUUCUAACACGCGACUAACCAUGUUAGAGGCGAGCAUCGAAAUAUUUACAUAUAAGUUAAAUCUAUUGUUCUUUUCUUUUGUUAUUUAUUGAAAUUGGUCUCAUUUAAAAUGGAAAGUGUGAAAUCUGUACAAAUUAGAUUAUUAUUCCUCAGUUUUUUCUUGUUUACGAUAUGUGAUUCGGAACUCUAGUUAUAAACAUUAAUUAAAAAUAUCAAGCUUAUCAGUUAAUUAAAAUCCGUAAGGGCACUGAAGCUGAAAAAGGCUACCUAUCAUCGAGCUGACACACACCAAUACCAUACCUUAUAACACCAUAUUAUAUUACAUGCAUAUAAAGCCUCUUUUAUUCUAAUUUUGUCAACUCCUUGCGUCCUUGCAGUUUAAUUAGUUUUGCCCAAACUUAUAAAUAUCUGCAUAUAAAUAAGCCUAAAUAAAUGGCCGAGUGAAAAUUUAUACGAAUACUUAUAGACAUAUAUUUCUUUCUCUUAUUUAUUCGACAUCGCAAAAUAUGCAAACAAUUAUAUAAUAUUCGCCUGAAACCACAAACAAAUUUGUAUUCAGAUGGAGAUUCUGGAGCAUGUUCAAAGUCCGGUGUCGACGAGAAUCAGACUCUUAGGAUUUUAUGGAAAAAAGUUAUAAAACAAAGGCAGAAGUAAUCGGAUUUAAUUUUUUGAUGUAUUUUACACAACAUAAACUUAUAGCUUUUUCGUUUUAAGAAAGUUAGUGUAAAUAUAUCGUUUUGAUUACUGAGCUAAA